AAAGGGUCGCCGUAGGUGACCUGCGGAGGGAUCAUUACACAAAUAUGAAGGCGGGCUGGAACCUCUCGGGGUUACAGCCUUGCUGAAUUAUUCACCCUUGUCUUUUGCGUACUUCUUGUUUCCUUGGUGGGUUCGCCCACCACUAGGACAAACAUAAACCUUUUGUAAUUGCAAUCAGCGUCAGUAACAAAUUAAUAAUUACAACUUUCAACAACGGAUCUCUUGGUUCUGGCAUCGAUGAAGAACGCAGCGAAAUGCGAUAAGUAGUGUGAAUUGCAGAAUUCAGUGAAUCAUCGAAUCUUUGAACGCACAUUGCGCCCUUUGGUAUUCCAAAGGGCAUGCCUGUUCGAGCGUCAUUUGUACCCUCAAGCUUUGCUUGGUGUUGGGCGUCUUGUCUCUAGCUUUGCUGGAGACUCGCCUUAAAGUAAUUGGCAGCCGGCCUACUGGUUUCGGAGCGCAGCACAAGUCGCACUCUCUAUCAGCAAAGGUCUAGCAUCCAUUAAGCCUUUUUUUCAACUUUUGACCUCGGAUCAGGUAGGGAUACCCGCUGAACUUA
rnacentral:rRNA from 1 species